rnacentral:misc_RNA from 1 species
GGAGAUAACGAUACGUUGAUACGAGUGGAAUGGCGCUACCUUAAGGGUUCCUUAUCUACUUAGUGGUAAACCCUUUUAAAGAAGAAAGAAGAAAGAGGUGUUUCUUGCUUUAUUUGUCACCGUCAUUAUUAUAUAACGAAAAUGGAAGACAUGGAAGAAGAUAUUUCUGACAUUGAGAAUGAAUUAGGCCCAGUACCUGUUAGUGAGAUUCAGAAGCAAGAAGAUGUUGCAAAAAUUGUUGAUGGAGCUUUUGAACACAUCAAGUAUAGUCAGGCUGCAGAGGAAGUAGUAGAUAUCAUAGCUGGAACAGAAAGACUUCAUCCUUUAGAUGGAGCUGCUGCUAUUCAAAAUCCACAGAUUCAGGCAGCCAAUUAUAGGACAUCCCACACAUCCAGUGGAGUUGGAUCUGAUGGAACAGGGUCCCGCAGUAUUAGCCUUCGCUACUCAGGCACAGCAACCACUGAUGGUCAAGAUUGUGUAGUCUAUGGUGAAACUGUUGAUGAUCUUUUAAAAGCCUCACCAUCCCUGGAGGCAUUGCAGAAGCUGAAUCUAACUCUACAGAAACGGUUUGAAGAGAAACUCGUCACACUGGAGCGAAUAUUACAGAACAACCUUGCUAGACAGGCACAGCUAAAAGACGAAAUCUCACAAGACAGAGUUAGCAUGGACCAGGAGAAGGCAGUAGACGCAAAGGGGAAAGUGUCACUGCGGGUCUCAAAUUUUUGUGUUCCUUACUUCAAAAAUCGUAGUGGGAUGAAUGCUCCCAAGAAUGAAGAUGCUAAGUUCAAGCUGGAUAAUGGCUACUUAGAUCUAUAUACAACACGUGCACGUACUUGGAAAGCUGGGGAAAAAUAUGCCUUGGGAAAGAGUGUGCACACAGAGUGGAAGCAUCAACUUAUAAGUAAAAAGGAAUUUCAUCUGCGGGAUCUCCAUAGGAAAUUGAAGAAUACCAGCUGCGACAUGGAGAAGACAGUAUUGGAAGAAAAGAUUGAGGAGCUUGAGAAGAAUAUUAGAGUUUUACAGAAUACACCAGCAGAAUCUUUAACACCCUCCCCACAAGAAAAAUUAGAUUGGGAGAAAAUAGCAGCUCAAGCAUUUGAUGGACACCGUACUUCUGAUGAGUGCCGCUUGGAGUGGGAGAACCUUCUUCAUCCUAGCAUCAACACCUCAGAUUGGAAAGCUGAGGAAGAUAUUGCCAUUCAAGAUCUGGUGACAUCAAGCAAGACCAGUGUUCCAGUUUGGACCAAAAUUGCAGAAAAAUUGAAUACAAACCGCACAGGGUAUCUGGUGAUGCAACGAUGGGUGUCAUUUAUUGCUCCAGCUCUAAAUCCAGCCAAGUGGACUCCAGAAUUAACUCAGAAAUUAAUUGACACUGUGAAUAUGCUAAGGGUUGGCAACUGUAUUCCUUGGGCACAGGUUCACCAACAUCUUGUAGGCUUUAGUCGUAGCCAGAUCCAAAGUCGGUGGCGACAGAUCAACCCAGAACAAUCGAAGGGGCCUUUUACAGUGGAGGAGGACUUUAUUCUUAUAAGGGGAUUACACAUGUUUGGAUUGAAUUUUCCUAGCAUUGCACACUUCAUGCCAGGCCGGUCCUAUUCUCAAGUCCGUGAUAGAUACAGGCGGACUAUCCUGCCUAACUUCACCUACAAACCUUGGACGAACGAAGAAGAUGAAAUAUUGAUUCAGGAGUGCCAGGUUGGCCCUCGGAAUUGGCGUAAGAUGGUCACGGAGCUGCCGAGGAGAAAUGCCUGUCAGAUCCGAAUGAGAUAUAACAUUCUCCAGGAAUGGCAGAACCUCUCAGAAAGUGACUUGCCACCUCCUCCAUUGUUCCCGGUGUCAACAAGCACAGAUAUAGACCAGAUCAACAGGAUUCGCAUGAAUAUGAUUCGGGACACUUGCCAAGUCAAGGAACUUGUGGAUCAGAGUAAAGUAAAGACUGAUAAGAAAGAUACAGUGAUGGUACUGGAGAACCGUCGCAAGGAGAUAAAAGCCAGAAAAGCUGACGAUUCCAUCCAGAAACUGAAGUGGGCAAUGGAGAAACGAGGACGGAGACAAGGAACUCCUAAUCCGCACCAGGUUUCACUUGAAAAUACUCUCCUUACAGAGUUCUUUAUUCCUUGGAGAAACUAUCCGGGAAAUAUAGAUAUUUCAAGUGAGAGUGUUCAGUCAAAUCUUUGUUUGCUGAGUAAAGUCCAGCAAUUGAAUAUCUCUUGUAAGGUUUCUCCAGCAGAGCAAAAGAUGUUAAAAACCCUCCAGUUGUCUGACAUAGAUACUGAGGUUGUAAACUCUCUGGUGGCAAAAGACUCACAACCAGAGGGAGAAGUGACAGCUGAUGAAUUUGAGGCGAGUGUCAACACAUGCCCAGCAACCAUCCCUCUCAUCCCACCCAACCAGACUACUUUGGGAGCCCUUGUUUCACUCUUGCUGCACCGACCAAACCUUGAGCAAAUGGCCUCAGGGGGUAUAAUACCUUUAAAGUUAAAAAAGUCUCGGGAGGCUGCUCAACUGGGAAGACGAGGCCGGAAGAGGAAGUUGGGAAAUUCCAGCAAGGACUCAGGCCGAGGGACAAGCAAGUGGCAGGCCAGCGAUUCCUCGGAGGUUGACAGUCCAGAUGAGAGAGAAAGUUCAGAGACGAGAACAGCACAACAGAAAGUUCACAUUACCUCUGUGGAGGUGAACAAGACAUCAGAGCCAUCGGCUAAAACCAGAAAGGUUACUAAAAUGAGCAGGAAGCAGACUGCAGGAAAUGUUGUAACAUAUUCACGAGGGAAUUUUGGAGGAAACAGGAUUUCUGCAAAUGUGAAUGAAUCUACCAAAGAUAAUUCAAAGACCAAUAUAAUGGACAUAGAGAAGGUAGAGCAGCCAGAAAGUGAGGAAGCAACUGGUAGUCGACAAGCAGAUGACCUGCUCUUCCAUAGGAUGCUUUCUUUGUUCUAUUGGCCUGCCUUAAUGAGCAAGUGCAGCCCUCCUGUCCAACAUGUCAGAGCAGCUAAGGAGAAACUUGCAAAUGCCAGUAUAGAGUGUGAUAAGCCACUGCCAGAGAAAAAGAGGUCUUUGUUAACCAAAGAUGAUCUUGGAAUAGAGGAACAAGAGGAAUACAUCUCCCACCUGGUAGAAGCAGAAAAACUACUCCAGGAAAGACGGAAGAAGAAAUGGCUCUACAAAGAUAGGGCUGAAGGAAGUUUAGUGGAGGGGGAUACAGUUGAAGAUGUGACAACUUCAGAAACAGAUGGAACGGAAGGAGAACUUGUAUCACGAGAUGAGGAAGGAAUCAAUGACAGCUUUACUUCUUGGAUCUCAGAAAGUGAGGAUCUGUUUGCUGAGGAAGCACAAGUUGUUGGGAGCAGUCGAGGAAGAGGCAGAGGCCAAGGAAGUGGAAAAGGAAGGGGAAGAGGAAGAGGCAGAGGAAGAGGCAGAGGAAGGGGAAGAGGAGGAGGAAGGGGAAGAGGAAGAGGAAAGGGAAGAGGAAGAGGUGGAGGGCAGGAAACACUUGAAAGAAGUAGUAAAGAAAGCCCCACAGGCAAGGAUAUGGCAGAGAAAGCCGCAGAAAGCCACUCAGAGUCAAUGGAAGGAGAGAGUAACCACUCAGAUGACGAUGACUUUCCCAUUAAGGAGAACAUUGGAGUUCCCCCAUUCAGAAGGAAACAGGGUAUCAUAAGUCUGAAAAGAUCCCUUGUCAUGAAGAAGAUAUGGGAGAAGAGACGUCAGGGCACUUACCCAGACCGCACAAGCAAGAGACAGCCUAGGACUUAUCAUCCCAGAGGAUCGAGAACAAGAGACCGUACGCGGAAAGAACUCUUGAAGCCCCCUAAAGCCCCUAGGCCAUGGGAUCUUCCCCUUGACGGUCCCAUGAAGGUGAAACCCAUGGUGUCACAGCACCAGACAGAAAGUGAUGAGGUUCAUGAAGAAGUAGAUGAAACAGAAGUAUUGGAGUAACAAGACAGUAUUGCCCAGUGUUGGAAUUCAAGAAAAAUACCAUCUUAGGCUACUUUAGUCACAUGUUAUCUGGAAAGGCAAAGGAACAGACAAAUACAUAUAACCAAACAAUGAACUUCCGGAGUUUGAAGAUUGUGUGAUCAGAAAACAUUUUCCAAUUUUAUUAGAAUUAAUAUAUUUAUGUUCUAGUCUCUAUCUGUGUUGUAAUGCAUAUUAUGAGUAUUGCUAUCUGACAUACAGGUGUAUUAAGGAAAAUGUUUUCUGAAGAGUAUGAUUAAUUAAUUAAUUAAUUAUUUAAUUGAAGGGAAACUUUAUUCAGAUUUUUAGGGAUCAUCUUUUUAAAGAAAUAAUUUUUCUUUUAUUUCUGUUUUGAAAUACAUAACAUAAUUUCUGGUUCAUUUUUUUUUAAGGAAAGAAAGUUUGUAAGUAAAUAUGAUAUUUAUGUAAGGAAGAAUUGACACAUUUUGUGAUAUAGAGAAUAAUAAAAAGUCAAAAAAUAAUUUGAGUAUUAGA